rnacentral:rRNA from 1 species
UACGGAGGGUGCGAGCGUUGUCCGGAAUCACUGGGCGUAAAGGGCGCGUAGGCGGUUUACUAAGACAGGUGUGAAAUCCCCGGGCUUAACCUGGGAAUGGCGCUUGUGACUGGUAGGCUAGAGUACGUCAGAGGGGGGUGGAAUUCCACGUGUAGCAGUGAAAUGCGUAGAGAUGUGGAGGAACACCAGUGGCGAAGGCGGCUUUCUGGUCUGUAACUGACGCUGAGGCGCGAAAGCGUGGGGAGCAAACAGG